UACGUAGGGGCAAGCGUUGUCCGGAAUUAUUGGGCGUAAAGCGCGUGUAGGCGGCCAGAUAAGUCCGCUGUGAAAUCUCGAGGCUCAACUUCGAGCUGUCGGUGGAAACUGUCUGGCUAGAGUCCGGAAGAGGAGAAUGGAAUUCCUGGUGUAGCGGUGAAAUGCGCAGAUAUCAGGAAGAACACCCGUGGCGAAGGCGGUUCUCUGGGACGGUACUGACGCUGAGACGCGAAAGCGUGGGGAGCGAACAGG
rnacentral:rRNA from 1 species